rnacentral:rRNA from 1 species
GACGAACGCUGGCGGCGUGCCUAAUACAUGCAAGUUGAGCGCUGAAGGUUGGUACUUGUACCAACUGGAUGAGCAGCGAACGGGUGAGUAACGCGUGGGGAAUCUGCCUUUGAGCGGGGGACAACAUUUGGAAACGAAUGCUAAUACCGCAUAAAAACUUUAAACACAAGUUUUAAGUUUGAAAGAUGCAAUUGCAUCACUCAAAGAUGAUCCCGCGUUGUAUUAGCUAGUUGGUGAGGUAAGGGCUCACCAAGGCGAUGAUACAUAGCCGACCUGAGAGGGUGAUCGGCCAAAUUGGGACUGGGACACGGCCCAAACUCCUACGGGAAGCAGCAGUAGGGAAUCUUCGGCAAUGGACGAAAGUCUGACCGAGCAACGCCGCGUGAGUGAAGAAGGUUUUCGGAUCGUAAAACUCUGUUGGUAGAGAAGAACGUUGGUGAGAGUGGAAAGCUCAUCAAGUGACGGUAACUACCCAGAAAGGGACGGCUAACUACGUG